rnacentral:rRNA from 1 species
AACGAACGUUGGCGGCGUGGAUUAGGCAUGCAAGUCGCACGAGAAAGGUUUCUUCGGAGACCGAGUAAAGUGGCGGACGGGUGAGUAAUGCAUAGAUAACUUACCCUUCAGAUGGGGAUAACGCUUCGAAAGGAGUGCUAAUACCCAAUGACGUCGCGGGUUGAUGGACCUGUGAUGAAAGGAGGCCUCUGAUUUAAGCUUCCGCUGAGGGAGAGGUUUANGUCCUAUUAGCAGUUGGUGAGGUAAUGGCUCACCAAGGCUGCGAUGGGUAGCCGACCUGAGAGGGUGACCGGCCACACUGGGACUGAGACACUGCCCAGACUCCUACGGGAGCUGCAGUCGAGAAUCUUCCGCAAUGCGCGCAAG